CCUACGGGUGGCAGCAGUGGGGAAUAUUGCACAAUGGGCGAAAGCCUGAUGCAGCAACGCCGCGUGAGCGAUGAAGGCCUUCGGGUCGUAAAGCUCUGUCCUCAAGGAGGAUAAUGACGGUGCUUAAGGAGGAAGCCCCGGCUAACUCCGUGCCAGCAGCCGCGGUAAUACGUAGGGGCAUAGCGUUAUCCGGAAUUACUGGGCGUAAAGGGUGCGUAGGUGGUUGCUUAGGUCAGAGGUGAAAGGCUACGGCUCAACCGUAGUAAGCCUUUGAAACUGGGAAACUUGAGUGUAGGAGAGGAGAGUGGAAUUCCUAGUGUAGCGGUGAAAUGCGUAGAGAUUAGGAGGAACACCAGUUGCGAAGGCGGCUCUCUGGACUGUAACUGACACUGAGGCACGAAAGCGUGGGGAGCAAACAGGAUUAGAUACCCUUGUAGUC
rnacentral:rRNA from 1 species